GUCACCACCACCACCACCACCACCACCCGGAGAAAACGGGAAGGCCUAAACUGAGCGUGAAGAAGCGUUUCAAGGAAACGGCGCUCCCAAUACAGUCUCGCUCUGUUUCAAAGGAAAUUCCCUCUUGGGAGCCCAGCGCCUCGGCCUCUCCAUCUUCUCACCCUUGGAUCCCAGUCAGGCUCUCAGAACCCAGUGACUGCUUACCUGAGUGAGACUACAGCUGAGCCUUAUCAUCUUUCAAUUAUUCUGUUUAUUUAUGGAACCAGUGUACAA
rnacentral:lncRNA from 1 species